rnacentral:lncRNA from 1 species
GCCUGUAUUUCCUUAUUGAUUUUCUGUUUGGCUGAUAUGUCCAUUGAUGUAUUGAGGAGUUAAAGUCCACUAUUCUUGUUGUGUUACUGUUGAUUUCUCCUUCUACAUCUGUUCAUAUUUGUCAUAUAUUGAGAUACUCCUAUGAUGGGUAUAUUAUAUAUACAAUGGUUAUAUCUUUUUCUUGCGUUGAUUCCUUGAUAAUUAUGUAGUAUCCUUCUUUGUCUGUUUUAAAGCCUUUUUUUUUCAGUAUAAGUAUUACUACUCCAGCUUUCUCUUAAUUUCUCUUUGCAUGGAAUACCUUUUUCUAUCCUCUCAUUUUCAAGUGGUAUAUGUCUCUAGACCUGAAGUGAGAAUCUUGUUGACAGCAAAUAUAGGCAUUUUAUUUUUGUAUCCAUUCCACCACUCUAUGGCUCAUUUAGACCAUUUACAUUUAAGGUAAUUAUCAAAAUUUAUGUUCUUAUUGCCAUUUUGUUAAAUGUUUGAGGUUAGUUUUUGUAGGGCUCCCCCUCCCCUUUUUGUUCUCUUGUGAUUUGAUGGCUAUCUUUAUUGUUAUCCUUUUCCUUUUUUGUGUGUAUAUCUAUUAUAGAUUUUUAUUUGGAGGUUACCAUGAGUUUUUUGCAUAGCAAUCUAUAGAUACACAUGAUUAAUUUGCUGAUCUCUUAAUUAUAAAUGCACUUUAAAAAAAAACCCUGCAUUUGUACUCUCUUCCCCUGAUUACUAUUUUUGAUAAACUAUGUUUUAUGUCAAAUUUUUUUAUGUAUCCCUUACCUAGUUAUUGUGGAUACAUGUGAUUUUACUAACUUUGUUUUUAGCCUCCCUACUAGCUUUGUGUGUAAAUUAUAUCCUAUCUUUACUAUAUGUUUGCCUUUACUGGCUGAACUUUUUCAUUUCAUAAUAUUCUUGUUUCCAAUUGUGGCCUUUUCUUUUUCACCUAGAGAAUUUCUUUUAGUGUCUGUUGUAAAACUAGUUUGGUAGAGAUGAAAUCUUUUAGCUUUUGCUUGUCUGUAAAGCUUUUGAUUGAUUUCUUUAUCAAGUCUGAAUGAGAGCCUUGCUGUGCAGAAUAUUCUUGGUUAUAGGUCUCACUUUCAACAUUUUAAUCUUCAGACCACUUCCUUCUGGACUGAAGAUUUUCUUAUUUUCUUCUGAUAGCCUUAUAGGAGUUUCAUUGUAUGUUAUUUGUUGACUUUCCCUUGUUAUUUUUAAUAUUCUUCCUUAAUUUUUAUCAAUUUUAUUACAGUGCAUCUUAUUUUGUUCCUCUGCAUGUUAAUCCUGUAUGGGAUUGUCUGCCUUUCCUGGACUUGGGUGACUCUUUCUUCCCCAGGUUAAGGAAAUUUUCAGCUAUUAUCUCUUCAAACACUUUCUUGGCCCCUUUUUCUCUUCACCUUCUAGGACCCCUAUCAUGUGAAUAAUAAUGUGUUUGAUGUUGUCCCAAAUGUCUCUUAAACUGUCCUAAUUUAUUUUCAUUCUUUUUUCUAUUCUCUAUUAAGCAGCAGUCAUUUCCGCUGCCCUGUCUUCCAGCUCUCUUAUCCAUUCUUCUGUAUGAUUUAUUCUACCAUUGAUUCCUUCAAGGGUAUUUUUAAAAUUUCAUUUAUUGUAUUCUUCAAUUCUGUGUGGUUGUUAUUUAUAUUUUCUAGCUCUUUAAAACCUCUAAUAUCUCUAUGAAUUUAUUCUCCUCCAUAGUUCUUUGAUCUUCUUUAAUAUGAUUUAUCUGAACUCUUUCUUGGGUAAACUGCCUAUUUCCACAUCUCUUAGUUCUUCUUCUGGUAUUUUAUUCCUUUUUCUUCAACUGAAACAUUGAUUAUUGCCUCAUUUGUCUAAAUUGCUACUUGUAUUUUUAUGUAUGUGGAAGGUAACUUAUAUUUCUCAACUCUAGUAAAAUGGACCUCUGAAAGAGACAUUCUAUGUGUUCUAGCAGUGCAAUAAUCUCUUGUAACCCAAGGGCAAGUGGCCAGAUGGUCCAGGAUAUUGUCUGACAUCUGCAUAUUUGGUCCUUGGGCUAUGGUACCAUAGUUUUCCUGCUUCUAGUGUCUGUUCCUUGGUGGGUCAGGCUAGUUUAGAGGCUUAUUCAUGCUUCCUUGUAGGAAGGGCCAGUAUUUUUCCACUGGUGUGUGGAGCUGAGUUCUCUGUUGGACAGGGACAUGUCUAGGGGCAUGUCUAGAGGCAUAAGGUAGGUUCAGGAAGUAUUUAGGCAGUAUUUAUAUCUGCUGAUGAAUGGAAUUAUGUCCCACCCAGUUAAUUGUUUGGCCUGAGCUAUCUCAGCACUGGAACCUACAGGUUGCUGAGUAGGGCCAGGUCUCAGUGAUAAUGACCCAAGAUAUCAGGCAGCAGAAUAGUUCACACAGAUGAAUACUCUCUGAUAAGUCCACCACCAUUGUUGAUAUUCCCAGAGUGAGCCACAGCCACACCCCACCAUCCCAGGAGACUAUCAAAGAUCAGCAGUUAUAGCUAGCCCAGGAUCCUAUUAAAUUACAGCUUUUGCCCUUGUUUGUAGUGAAUGUGAGAUUUUGUGUGCAUACUUUAAGAGUGAAGUCUCUAUCCUCCAUCAUGUAGAGCUCCUUCAAUCAAGCCCUGCUGGCCUUCUAAGCCAAAUGCUCCAAGGACUCCUCUUCCUGUGCUGGAUCCCUGUGCUGGGGAACCUGAUGUGGGGGCUCAGAACUCUUAUUCCUGUGUGGAAAUCUCUAUAAUACAAUUAUUCUCAAAUGUAUGUGUUGCCCACCUAGGGGAUAUGGGAUUUCAUUAUAUCAUGAUUAUUCCCACCCUACUGGUCUCAUUUUGGUUCCUUCUUUAUGUUUUUAGUCAGAGGACAUCUUUUCUGCUAAGCUUCAGACCUUUUCAACAAUGGUCAUUCUACAGAUUGUUGUGAUUUUGGUGUGUUUGUGAGAGGAGGUGAGCUAGGAGGAGCUGACCUUAAACUCUGCCAUCUUGGCCACUAACUAAGCAAAAUGAUUAAUGGGGUAAAUCAAUGGUUGAUAAACUACAGCUAGCAGGCCAAAUCCAAAUUUUUCUAAUUUUUUGUGUUGUAAAAAAAUAAAAGGAGAGGAUAUUAGUGUUGUUAUAUGGCCUUGAAAAGCCUAAAGUAUUUAUUACCUGGCCCUUUGCAGAAAAUGCCUGCUAAGAACUGGAAUAAUCAAACUCUGAAAUGGUAGGUAUAACUUAAGGAGUUCUUACUAUCACAAUGUAAAUAUGAGGUUGUUUUCUACAUUCCACUAGUAGAGUAACUAAUAUACAGAACAAUAAGUGGCAGUCAAAUCAAAAUAUUUACUAGUGUUAUAAGUGUAUUUAGUUUUAGUGGACAAAAAUAUUCACAAACUCAGGCAUAUUAGAAUUUGAUUUUAUAACAACUUCUAUUUCUCAUUUUACUUGAAAAGCGGAAAGCUGAUAUCAACUUGGGGUUUCCAAUUUUUCAAAUUUGGCCUUAUUUUGAGAACUUUGGUUACAGGUAUCACAUGUUGGUACUGUUUAGCCAGGCCCCACCCUUUUUGCUCUUGGGUUACGGUCUGUCUCACCUCCUAUGCAGUGUCACCUCCUAUGCAGCCUCACUUCCUAUUCACAGAGCCUCUUCAAGACUCUCCUCACCAUUACUUCCUUGGCACUGUCUAGAGCUAUUAUAGAUUCCUCAAACAGAAGCCAGUUUCUUUCUGUUUGGACUAUUUUUUGCCCAUAAUUGGGUAAGCAUUUGCUUAGGCCUUCUAUAAGCUUAAGAUACCACUCUUCACUGAAUUCUGUAAUACCUCUUUUGUAGAAUUUUUUAAAUCAUUUUAAUUCUCUAUUUUUGAAUUUACUUUCUCCAUGGUUUCUAAUUACCUUUUCAGAACAUGUGCCAUAUUGUUUUUUCAUUUACAUGUCUCCAGUUCAUAGCAGUUUGAUGCAUAUUAGGCAUUCAAAUAAUUGGCUCAAAUUAAUGAAUCAUUAAAGCUCUUCAGUACAGAAGGCUUUUCAGACUUGAUACAGUUUGUCAGCAUUUAUUUAUACAUCAGGAAUAAACUUACUUACAAGAAUAAAUUAUUCUUUUGCUGGGUAAUUAUGUCAUCUCAUAUCACUUACAUCAGUUGAGAUAGUAUGUGUAUGUGUGUUUGUAAAUAUUUAUACACACACAUAUUUGAGAUUCUUAAAAAUCUUUGGAUGAAUAUAGUAGAAAGUGGAACUGGAACUGGUGAGAACUUUAGAUAAUUACAUUAAAUAUUAGAAUGAGAUUUCUGCUGCUAGAUGGAUGGUAAUUGAAUUAUCCUUGUACAAGUAAAAUAAUAGAUUCUUUUAGUAUACAUUCUGUCUUGACCUUCAAAUACCCCAGCUCUUGAUGUGGAAAUAAGGCCAUUGUAAAUGUCCCCUAAUUUCUUCAAGUGUUAACUUUGUUGCCUACUCAUCUGCUGUCAAAAUGUACUAAUUCAAUAGAAAAUGUUUGUUUACACACAUACUUGUCAAAGAGCUCAAUCUUGAUUUGAGUACCAUCUAGUAGCUUCACUGUAGGGCUGAAGCAGAUAUAAAUCUAUGGGGGAAACAUGCAGCAAGUGACCAUACUAGCUUAGUUCUCCACAGAAAUAUAAUUGUACUGCCUUUGUUCUGAGAAGAAAGUUUUCCUAUUCCCUGUGAAAUCACAGUUGAAGAUUAUAAGCAGUUCUAGAAAUGCUUCCAAGAACUUGCUAAUGAGGGAAAUAAGGUAGUUUUUAAUAAAACUUACUAAAUCAAAUGUGUUUAUGGAGAGAGAAUGAGAGGGUGGGGCAAAAUGAUUCUUCGAUCCAGAGUACAGCAUAAUCAAUACUUACAAGUCUAUCAAAAUUACAUGCCAAUUAGGAUUCACUGUGUGUCUAGGACUGUCCUGGGCUUGAUCUAGGGAUGGUCACAACUCAGUCCAGGGAUCUUGGGCAAUCUGGUCACAUUGGAGGUAGCUUCUGUGGAAGAAAGUUGGGUACUUCACCAAACAUAACUGAAUGCCUGAAAUGGUCUCACAGCUACCCAUCUCACAUGACUUCAGUUUCAUGAUCAAGUAGCCUUUUGAUUAUGAUACCAGGAGAGGAUAUGUUGAGGGUUGGAGAUGUGAGCAUUUCAGUUGUUGGAAUAUUUUCCAUUCUAACUCUAACUUACAGCGUUUUUUUUUUGUUUGUUUGUUUGUUUUGUUUUGUUUUGUUUUUAGUGUAUUCAUGAUAUCAGAGACGUACGACCUUAACAGAUAUUGAUAAGGUCUAGUUACUUCCAAGAGCCACUUGGCUACAAAUUCCUAGGCCAUGUUCCCAAAGAAUGGGGACAAUUUUCUUCAAUCCUAGUAAGGAUUGCCAUCCAAUGCCCAGAAUACGCAUGAGCUUGGAUAUUUGCAGAGUGGAAUGAAUAAAUGAUGUACACAUAAAGCUAAUUCAUUCCAAGGUUUCUUGGUAGCUAACCAGAAUUCCACUGGACACUGCAAAUUCUGUCUCCUUACAUAUGUCUUCCUAUUUAACUUUUAGCGAAAACUUGUUAACAUUCUAUAUUUAAGAAUUCACGAUGGAGUUCCCAUCGUGGCACAGUGGUUAACAAAUCCGACUGGGAACCAUGAGGUUGCAGGUUCCACCCCUGGCCUCGCUCAGUGGGUUAAGGAUCCAGUGUUGCCAUGAGCUGUGGUGUAGGUCGCAGACGUGACUUGGAACCCACGUUGCUAUGGCUCUGGCAUAGGCCAGUGGCUACAGCUCUGAUUAGACCCCUGUGCCACAGGUGAGGCCCUAGAAAAAAG